AAAAAGAACCUGAAACCGUGUACGUACAAGCAGUGGGAGCACAGGUUUACCUGUGUGACUGCGUACCUUUUGUAUAAUGGGUCAGCGACUUAUAUUCUGUAGCAAGGUUAACCGUAUAGGGGAGCCGGAGGGAAACCGAGUCUUAAUUGGGCGUUAAGUUGCAGGGUAUAGACCCGAAACCCGGUGAUCUAGCCAUGGGCAGGUUGAAGGUUGGGUAACACUAACUGGAGGACCGAACCGAC
rnacentral:rRNA from 4 species